rnacentral:rRNA from 1 species
UAAACCUACGGGGCGCAGCAGUGGGGUUUAUUGGGUUGUGGGGGCACGCCUGACCCAGCAACGCCGCGUGAAGGAAGAAGGCCCUCGGGUUGUAAACUUCUUUUAUUCGGGACGAAACAAAUGACGGUACCGAAUGAAUAAGCCACGGCUAACUACGUGCCAGCAGCCGCGGUAAUACGUAGGUGGCAAGCGUUAUCCGGAUUUACUGGGUGUAAAGGGCGUGUAGGCGGGAGAGCAAGUCAGACGUGAAAUUCCAGGGCUCAACCAUGGAACUGCGUUUGAAACUGUUAU